AUCGGCAUUGCUGAUGAGCGCUGGAACGCGUCUGCCGCUCGCAAUUUGCCGCAAAUUGCUUUCUGCUUUUGACCACGGAUGUACUGGCACUGGUAUGAGUAGCGAUGUGAGGAAGGUCGGUGCGGUUUCGCCCCGGCCUUUUUUGUU
rnacentral:sRNA from 1 species